GAUUAACGCUGACGGCGUGCCUAAUACAUGCAAGUCGAGCGAAUGGAUUAAGAGCUUGCUCUUAUGAAGUUAGCGGCAGACGGGUGGGUAACGCGUGGGUAACCUGCCCAUAAGACUGGGAUAACUCCGGGAAACCGGGGCUAAUACCGGAUAACAUUUUGAACCGCAUGGUUCGAAAUUGAAAGGCGGCUUCGGCUGUCACUUAUGGAUGGACCCGCGUCGCAUUAGCUAGUUGGUGAGGUAACGGCUCACCAAGGCAACGAUGCGUAGCCGACCGGGGAGGGUGAUCGGCCACACUGGGACUGAGACACGGCCCAGACUCCUACGGGAGGCAGCAGUAGGGAAUCUUCCGCAAUGGACGAAAGUCUGACGGAGCAACGCCGCGUGAGUGAUGAAGGCUUUCGGGUCGUAAAACUCUGUUGUUAGGGAAGAACAAGUGCUAGUUGAAUAAGCUGGCACCUUGACGGUACCUAACCAGAAAGCCACGGCUAACUACGUGCCAGCAGCCGCGGUAA
rnacentral:rRNA from 1 species